GAUGAAGAACGCAGCGAAAUGCGAUACGUAAUGUGAAUUGCAAAUUCAGUGAAUCAUCGAGUCUUUGAACGCACAUUGCGCCCCCUGGUAUUCCGGGGGGCAUGCCUGUCCGAGCGUCAUUGCUGCCCUCAAGCACGGCUUGUGUGUUGGGCCCCGUCCUCCGAUCCCGGGGGACGGGCCCGAAAGGCAGCGGCGGCACCGCGUCCGGUCCUCGAGCGUAUGGGGCUUUGUCACCCGCUCUGUAGGCCCGGCCGGCGCUUGCCGAUCAACCCAAUUUUUUUAUCCAGGUUGACCUCGGAUCAGGUAGGGAUACCCGCUGAACUUAAGCAUAUCAAUAAGCGGAGGA
rnacentral:misc_RNA from 1 species